AGAAUGAGCCAACAUUCAUUCACCAAUCUGUGAGACUAGCAAUGCUAAUAAUAACCUUUCCAGCUCAGUUAUAUCUGAUAAUCUCCCUAACAAUUUUCCCACCUUCUAUAACUUCAUAACUUCUACAGCACACCCUCAAGAUGGAGAUGGGUUGAUUGAAACCAAUCCCAUCUUGGACAGAAAUUAGUGAAAGGAUGAUGAAUUGAGGGGUGUUGUGAACAAAUCUGCUAGUUGUGUCUUGGCACCAACUUGAGAUGUCGUGAUGAACUUGUGUCGUGAUGAACUUGUUAAGUACUUGCUGGCGAACAAAAUGACAGUCUAUAUCUAGAUGUUUGGUAUGUUCAUGGAAAACUGGAUUUUUGAGUAUGUGAACUGUGGCUUUGUUGUCACAUAAUAGUGGAAUGGGAAGUGACAAUGAAUCCUGCAAGUCUCGAAGCAAGUAAGAAACCCAUUGAAGUUCGCAAACAGUCGUAGCCAUGCUUACGUAUUCAGUUUCAGCUGAAGAUCAACUGACAGUGGACUGCUUCUUAGUUUUCCAUGAGAUCAAUGAGUCACCAAGGAACACACAAUAUCCUGUAAGAGAUUUUCUCGUCAUAGAACAUGAGGCCCAGUCCGCGUCACAAUAAGCUCAAACAUGAAGAGAAGUAUUAGCUGGGAAAAAUAAUCCUUUUGGAGGUGUUCCUUUUAAGUAAGGAAGCAGAGCAAGUAAUGCAUCCUAGUGUGUUCGCUGUGGUUGUUGUAAAAAUUGGCUCAUUUGCUGAACCACAUAGGAAAUAUCAGGACGCGUAAGAUUUAAGUACAGUAAUCUGCCUACAAUUCGUCUGUAUUGCUCUUGAUUCAUGGUAAGAUCCCCUAUUUUAUUAUCAAGCUUCAAUGACUUGGACAUUGGAAAUUCCUUGAUUUUAGCAUUCAUCAUUCCAGCAUUGUUUAGAAUAUCUAAAAUGUAUUUCCUCUGACUUAUGAACAAACCACUAGUAGAUCGUGCAAUCUCAACACCAAGGAAAUAUCUUGCGUAGCCCAAAUCCUUGAUUGUGAAAGAAUCAUGUAAAUAUUUCUUGACAGCAAUAAUUUUGGAUUCAUCAAUCCCUGUAACCAACAUGUCAUCAAUGUAACCAAAAGUGCAAGAAAAUCAUCCCCACUACCGUUGGUGAAGAGACAAUUAUCAUGGAGUGACUAAGUGAACCCAAAGAUUUGCAUUUUGGAAGUCAGUUCUUUGUUCUGCUGUCGGCCAGUUUGCUUGAGACAUACAGUGAUUUAAUCAGCUUGGACACUUGGCCACGCUGGGCCUUCUCAUAACCAUUUGGUGGUUUCAAAUAUAGCUUCUCAUCAAGGAAUCCAAGAAGGUAAGCAUUGUUAAUAUCAAGCUGGUGAAUUGGCGAGUUUUUUGUAGAAGCAAGAGCCAAGAGAACAUGAACAGUGAUGGUCUUAGCUAUGGGAGAGAAACUGGCAGUAUAAUCUAGACUCGGGAGUUGAUUGUAGCCCUUGGCUACUAAUCUCGCUUUAUAGCGAUGCCCUGUACCAUCUGGAUGAUAUUUAACUUUGUAGAUCCAUUUAGAUUCGAUGGCUUUUUUAUUAGGCGACAAAGAUGUUAAUUCCCAAGUUCCAUUCUGCUCAAGUGCUGUUAGUUCCUUAUUCAUUGCCUCAACCCAAGAUGGGUCUGUCUUAGCUUGAGCAUAGCUAGUAGGCUCAGGGAUUAUA
rnacentral:misc_RNA from 1 species